UACAUUCUUCUGCCUGAAGACAAACCUGAUCUCACCUGUCGAUAAUCAGCAGCAAUAGCCAGACACGCCCACAGGAGGGACUGAACAAACACCACUCACACACACACACUCCCUCCCUCUCUCUCUCUCUCUCCCUCUCUCUCUCUCUAACACACUCCUACACACACUCUGGUGGUCCUGCAGCAGUGUGUCAGUGGUCUCCUGUUGCUCUCUCAGUCAUGUUAUCCUUGACCGCCCUCUCCCUCCGUUUUGGGGCCUGUGGUUGCCGUGGAAGCAGGCGCUCCCUGGCAACUGUCGUCUCCGGCAACAAGACGUCCAAGUUGGUGAGGGAGAGGCUGCAGACGGAGGUGGAGAAGAUGAAGAGUCACUUCUCAGGGUUCAGACCGGCACUGGUUGUCUUACAGGUGGGCGACAGAGACGACUCCAACCUGUACAUCAGCUCCAAACUAAAGGCUGCAGCCGAGAUUGGAAUCGAUGCGAAACACGUGAGGCUGCCGAGCUCGGCGACGCAGGACGAGGUGCUGCGGAGCAUCAUGUCCGUUAAUGAGAACCCGUCCGUCCACGGUCUGAUCGUCCAGCUGCCCCUGGACUCUGUCAACCCUGUCAACACCGAGCUCAUCACCAACGCCGUCUCUCCAGAGAAGGACGUGGAUGGUCUGAGCUGUAUUAAUGCAGGAAAGUUGUCUCGAGGUGAUCUCAACGACUGUUUCAUCCCCUGCACCCCCAACGGCUGCAUGGAGCUCAUCAGACAGACAGGCGUGUCCGUGGCAGGAAAACAUGCAGUUGUGAUUGGUCGCAGUAAGAUCGUUGGAGCACCGAUGCACGACCUGCUUCUGUGGAACCACGCCACUGUGACCACCUGUCACUCAAAGACACCUGACCUUCCUGAGCAGGUGGGCCGGGCUGAUAUCCUGGUUGUGGGGGCGGGGCAAGCCGAGAUGGUGAGAGGAGAGUGGGUGAAGGAGGGAGCCGUGGUCAUUGACUGUGGAAUCAACCAUGUACCAGACGAGACGAAGGCUAGCGGUAAACGAGUUGUCGGAGACGUCCACUAUGCCUCAGCCAAUCAGAGAGCAGGAUUCAUCACACCUGUUCCAGGAGGGGUGGGGCCGAUGACGGUGGCCAUGCUCAUGGAGAACACGGUGCUGAGCGCCCAGCGUUUCCUGCUGAAGAAACCGCCGACCAGGUGAAAAACACAGUGACACCGCAGGAAACACUUGCAGGUCGGUCCUCCACGCUUCUGGUCCUGGUUUUUCCCAGCAGCGGCCUCGAAGUCCCGUCAGCUUCCUCCUUAAAGUCACUUUCUCCACUCGUGGGCCGUCGCCUCCACCCUCUCUCACCAUGGCUCGUCUCCACAGUGACACUAAAUAGUUUUUUUGCCUCCUGGAGGCGUUUCAGCUGUUCUGUCCACAAUCCACCACUGAUGAACCAUCUGCUGCAGAGAUAAAACACCUGGGAAUCUGCAGGGCACAAAGAUGCAGAUUAAACAUGUUGAUUUAUGACGCAUGGAGCGCUGAAUAGAGCAGACGUGUGUUAACAUGUCACCAGAGACGUUCACUGAUCAGUUUCUGCUCAGAUCUCUCAACAUGAGUCACGCUCAUAAGAAAAUGAGGAUUUUAUCUGCAUAGUUACAAAAGACAUGUUUAUGUGACGUGUUGUUCUUCCAACCGAGCCUCAAUUCAUUUAUUAAAAAAAAAUGUUAAUGAAUCUAUUUUAUCUUUUUUUUAUUUUGAUGUCCAGGCCUCUGAAAUACAGAUAGUCAAAGAGAAUAUUAAAGAUAAAGUCUACAGACAUUGUGACGAUCACUGUGAUGGAGAAACAAGUUAUUAAACUACUGAGGGACAAAACAGAACAUUUGCUCACAUUUAACUGGUUGUGUUAAAGCAUACAAUAUAAAUAUUUCACAGAGCUACUUAUAGAGAUUUGUUUUGUUUGUUUUUGAUGAUUUAGAAUAAGAACAUCACAUUCACAUGUUCGGCUGAUACCUGCUUUGUUCUUUACAGAUUAAAGCUCCGAGGAUAAAUACAAGAGGAAAAGUCAGACGGUCUUUAGUUUACAGGAUCAGUCAGAAAGUCUCAUUAAUAAAAUGUUUCAUCAUCAUGAGAGAAAGAGAUCAGCUUAUCAGAUCACCAAUAACAGUUAAAUAAAGAUGUCACAGAGAAGUUUUAUCAGAUCUGACCUGGACGAGUGUCUUCUCCGGUCUGCUGAUCAGAUCUCAUCCUGACUGAAUAAACACUGAGCUCCUCCCCCUUUUCUCUCUCCCUUCCUCUCUCUCUCUCCUCCACCCUAGUUUCCAUAGCAACCCUACUGAUAGGCAUUUAGUUUUACAGAAAUGUUUUUUUUAAUAAGGAGGUGGGAGGGUGGGGGAGGCAGAGGAGUGAGGACCCCCAGGGGAGACUGAGAACAGGAAGCAGGAUUUGGUUUUAUUUCCUUCAAUGACUUUUUAGGAGGUUUAUGUGAGAGCAACAUGUCUCUAUCUUUAGACUUUAUUAGACAACCAACGCUCAGAGACAACAAGGAGACCAGGACCAGCAGAACCAGAAGAACCAGGAGACCAGAAGAAGGUCCAGGAGGACAAGGUGGAGGACCAGGAUGAUCAGCUGACACACAUUACACAGUAAAUAUACAAAUCACUUAUUUUACUGGUACUUUGAUACAUUUAAUAUUUGAUACAAUUUAAUUUAACAUUUGAUACUUUAAGAGGUCUCACUCCAGUAUAACUGUCUGUUUUUAUAACACUGGUAAUGGGAUUAUUUUCCAAAGACUACUGUGUAAUAAUUUCCUGAUUAGUUUCAAAGUAACUGUCCAACAUGAUGACAUCAUUCACAACAUUUCAGGCAAGAAGAGAAAAAAAAAUCAGGUGGAGGGUUGAAUCACCGCAAAUCAACUAUUUGACGUUAUUACUGAUUAGUUACUGAUUAGUUACUAUUAAUUACUCAUUAGUUUGUCAUUAGUUACUAUUAGUUACUGAUUAGUUACUGAUUACUGUACUAACAUUCAUCACAGGCUGUAAUUUUACAGAAGCUACAGACAGAAUGUUUAACUGAAUGUGUUUCUUGAAUCUUUAGCUGCCACUCAUGUGAGAAACUUUCCCAUUUCUUCUUCUACUGCUGUUUUGGAUACAGACUCAAGGUGUUAGCACCACCUGUUGGACUGUUUGUCUCCAGGACACAGCGAGAUGGACCUGACAGAUUUCUACAGAAUCGUUUGAGACAAAUUAACCUAAAAGACUCAGAUUUCAUCUGAAUUCUUCCUAAAUUCUUCCUAGAAACUUUAAAAUGUGAUAAAUCAUGUAAAUAUAACUCUGCAGGACACAACAUCACACAUUUCAUGAACAGAAAUGAAACAAAUUGGAUUGCUCUUUUAAUCUCUUCAUUUGAUCGCUGGUUUAUUGAUCAGUGAUUGGUUGUUGAUCUGCUGCAGCACUCUGAGCUCUCUUGUAUCGUCAUGUGUUGCUGUCUAUUUUUAAAGAUGUGAAGAACCUCAGCAGCUUUUGUUUCUAUAGCGAUGGAGGGUAAACAUAUAUCCAUCUGUCUCUAAGCAACAGCGACCAAUCAGGACCUCCGACAGGUGAGAGCACGAGGCAGGGGUGUGUUACCUUCCUAUAUAUAUAUAUAUAUAUAUAUAUAUAUAUAUACACAGUGUAUAUGUAUAUACAGUAUUUGUAUAUAUGUAUUUAUUUAACUCAUGUAAGCAUCAGGAUGAUAUACGAACAUUCAGUCUCAUCGUCUGAACAGUUGAAAACAUCUGCAGACUGUCGGCUUGUUGAGUGUUCAGGAGGAACAGCUGAUUAUUUUUAUUAUUGAUCAGACGGAAAUUUAUAUCGUCUGUCAUCACAUCCACCAACCAUCCAAUCCACAGCCACCAUCACCUCGAAGCUGCAAAUCAAAUCUCACCUGUCUUUUAGAAAAAACACUCAAAAAACACGUCAGAUUAUUAUUAUUAUUAAGAUUAUACCAUAAAUAAUUAUCAUUAUUGAUCCUCUCUAGGGGGUUGAAUUAUCAAUCUGUACUCAUUAUAUUCAUACAUAUUAAACUAUACUCUCAAUAUGUUCAUGUACAUGACACAAUAUGACACGUUCUGUAAAUGUUCUGUUAUCGUCUGGUUAGUGUUGGAGCUGAAACGUCUUGUGAUGUUGUGACUUUAUUGUAAUGAUGACGUGUUGAAAUAUUUACAGAAGUCUUUUUUUAAGGUUUGUAUUUGUGAGAAUUUUCAUAUAAUAUUCAUAUUUAACUCUAUUAUAUUCUGACUUUGUAUUCAGAGUAUUGUCAAAAUUUAAACUUUAUUCCUGUAAGUUUUGUCUUAUUCUUACUCUUUAUGGGUUAGGGUUAGGGAUUUUAACCUUCAGUUAUUCAGGACUUUUGUAACUUUCAUAAAAUAAAAUCUUAAUUUUUUUGGUGAUUCUGUUUACAGUGUCUAAAUCAAAAAGGAUGUUUUAUUUUGAAAGAAACGAGCAAACGCUUAUAUCCUGUCCUGAAGGACUAAAAAUGUCAGCUGUCUGUGUGGAUACUCUGUUUCCCAGAAUGCAUCUGGUCAGCUGGGUGCUCAGCUCUCUGCUGACGCCUGCUGGACCCGGUCUGUUACUGCAGACAGAUGUUAAACAGGAAACUCAAAGGUCCACUUCCUCAGAAGACCAGGACCUCCUGCUGAGAGCUCCAGAGAGAGCAGGUGUUUCCAGGAGCCCUGUGAUGUCACGGUGUUUGUUUCAAACAGUUUUAAAUAAAGUUUUGUCCUGUGA